rnacentral:rRNA from 1 species
UACGAAGGGGGCUAGCGUUGCUCGGAAUCACUGGGCGUAAAGGGUGCGUAGGCGGGUUUUUAAGUCAGGGGUGAAAUCCUGGAGCUCAACUCCAGAACUGCCUUUGAUACUGGCGAUCUUGAGUCCGGGAGAGGUGAGUGGAACUGCGAGUGUAGAGGUGAAAUUCGUAGAUAUUCGCAAGAACACCAGUGGCGAAGGCGGCUCACUGGCCCGAUACUGACGCUGAGGCACGAAAGCGUGGGGAGCAAGCAGG